UCAUUAACAAGUAUCAUGUAAAUUGAAUUUUUGUAUAUAUCAAUUACAUGUUAUUCGUUCUUGAAC
rnacentral:pre_miRNA from 1 species